rnacentral:rRNA from 1 species
UACGUAGGGUGCGAGCGUUGUCCGGAAUUAUUGGGCGUAAAGGGCUCGUAGGCGGUUUGUCGCGUCGGGAGUGAAAACCUACAGCUUAACUGUGGGCUUGCUUUCGAUACGGGCAGACUAGAGGUAUGCAGGGGAGAACGGAAUUCCUGGUGUAGCGGUGAAAUGCGUAGAGAUCGGGAGGAACACCAAAGGCGAAAGCACUCUGCUGGGCCGCAACUGACACUGAGAGACGAAAGCGAGGGGAGCAAACAGG